rnacentral:tRNA from 2 species
AGGGGUGUAGCUCAACUGGCUAGAGCAUCGGUCUCCAAAACCGAGGGUUGCGGGUUCAAGUCCUGCCACCCCUA